UGGGGAAUAUUGCACAAUGGAGGGAACUCUGAUGCAGCGACGCCGCGUGAACGAAGAAGGCUUUCGAGUCGUAAAGUUCUUUUAUAUGGGAAGAUAAUGACGGUACCAUAAGAAAAAGCCCCGGCUAACUACGUGCCAGCAGCCGCGGUAAUACGUAGGGGGCUAGCGUUGUCCGGAAUCACUGGGCGUAAAGCGCACGUAGGCGGACUUUUAAGUCAGGGGUGAAAUCCCGGGGCUCAACCCCGGAACUGCCUUUGAUACUGGAAGUCUUGAGUAUGGUAGAGGUGAGUGGAAUUCCGAGUGUAGAGGUGAAAUUCGUAGAUAUUCGGAGGAACACCAGUGGCGAAGGCGGCUCACUGGACCAUUACUGACGCUGAGGUGCGAAAGCGUGGGGAGCAAACAGG
rnacentral:rRNA from 1 species